rnacentral:rRNA from 1 species
GACGAACCGUGCGAACGUUGUUCGGAAUCACUGGGCGUAAAGCGCGCGUAGGCGGCUUUUCAAGUCAGGGGUGAAAUCCCACAGCUUAACUGUGGAACUGCCUUUGAAACUGUAAAGCUAGAGUGUCGGAGGGGAUAGCGGAAUUGCUAAUGUAGAGGUGAAAUUCGUAGAUAUUAGCAGGAACACCGGUGGCGAAGGCGGCUAUCUGGACGACAACUGACGCUGAGGCGCGAAAGUGUGGGGAUCAA